rnacentral:rRNA from 1 species
GUCUUUUUGAGUAUAAUUUAAAGUCUGACCUGCCCACUGAAUUUUUAAAGGCCGCGGUAUUUUGACCGUGCAAAGGUAGCAUAAUAAUUAGUUUUUUAAUUGAAAGCUGGAAUGAAUGGUUGGACGAGGAAAUAACUGUCUCUAUAUUAAUUUAUUAGAAUUUUAUUUUUAAGUUAAAAAGCUUAAAUAAUUUUAAAAGACGAGAAGACCCUAUAGAGUUUUAUAUAAUUUUUUUAAGAAAGAUUUUAUUAAUUUUAAUUUUUUUAAAAAAAUUAUAUUUUGUUGGGGUGAUGGAAAAAUUUAAUAAACUUUUUUUUUAUUCGAUCAUUUAUAUAUGAAUUUUUGAUCCAUUGAUUGUGAUUAUAAGAUUAAAUUACCUUAGGGAUAACAGCGUAAUUUUUUUUGAGAGUUCUUAUCAAAAAAGAAGAUUGCGACCUCGAUGUUGGAUUAAAAUAAAUAUUUGGUGUAGAAGCUAAAUAAUUAGGUCUGUUCGACCUUUAAAAUUUU